rnacentral:rRNA from 1 species
AUUGAACGCUGGCGGCAGGCUUAACACAUGCAAGUCGAGCGGAGAUGAGGUGCUUGCACCUUAUCUUAGCGGCGGACGGGUGAGUAAUGCUUAGGAAUCUGCCAUUUAGUGGGGGACAACAUUCCGAAAGGAAUGCUGAUACCGCAUACGUCCUACGGGAGAAAGCAGGGGAUCUUCGGACCUUGCGCUAAAUGAUGAGCCUAAGUCGGAUUAGCUAGUUGGUGGGGUAAAGGCCUACCAAGGCGACGAUCUGUAGCGGGUCUGUGAGGAUGAUCCGCCACACUGGGACUGAGACACGGCCCAGACUCCUACGGGAGGCAGCAGUGGGGAAUAUUGGACAAUGGGCGGAAGCCUGAUCCAGCCAUGCCGCGUGUGUGAAGAAGGCCUUUUGGUUGUAAAGCACUUUAAGCGAGGAGGAGGCUACUAGUACUAAUACUACUGGAUAGUGGACGUUACUCGCAGAAUAAGCACCGGCUAACUCUGUGCCAGCCGCCGCGGUAAUAC